rnacentral:rRNA from 1 species
GACAAAAUGCGUCAGGUCGAAAGCUGGGACAACAGGAUUAGAUACCCUGGUAGUCCACGCCGUAACGAUCUCGACUGGAGGUUGUGCCCUUGAGGCGUGGCUUCCGGAGCUAACGCGUUAAGUCGACCGCCUGGGGAGUACGGCCGCAAGGUUAAAAACUCAAAUGAAUUGACGGGGGCCCGCACAAGCGGUGGAGCAUGUGGUUUAAUUCGAUGCAACGCGAAGAACCUUACCUGGUCUUGACAUCCACGGAAGUUUUCAGAGAUGAGAAUGUGCCUUCGGGAACCGUGAGACAGGUGCUGCAUGGCUGUCGUCAGCUCGUGUUGUGAAAUGUUGGGUUAAGUCCCGCAACGAGCGCAACCCUUAUCCUUUGUUGCCAGCGGUCCGGCCGGGAACUCAAAGGAGACUGCCAGUGAUAAACUGGAGGAAGGUGGGGAUGACGUCAAGUCAUCAUGGCCCUUACGACCAGGGCUACACACGUGCUACAAUGGCGCAUACAAAGAGAAGCGACCUCGCGAGAGCAAGCGGACCUCAUAAAGUGCGUCGUAGUCCGGAUUGGAGUCUGCAACUCGACUCCAUGAAGUCGGAAUCGCUAGUAAUCGUGGAUCAGAAUGCCACGGUGAAUACGUUCCCGGGCCUUGUACACACCGCCCGUCACACCAUGGGAGUGGGUUGCAAAAGAAGUAGGUAGCUUAACCUUCGGGAGGGCGCUUACCACUUUGUGAUUCAUGACUGGGGUGAAGUCGUAACAAGGU